rnacentral:rRNA from 1 species
GGGUUGUGAGGUUAAGCGACUAAGCGUACACGGUGGAUGCCCUGGCAGUCAGAGGCGAUGAAGGACGUGCUAAUCUGCGAAAAGCGUCGGUAAGGUGAUAUGAACCGUUACAGCCGGCGAUGUCCGAAUGGGGAAACCCAGUGCAAUUCGUUGCACUAUCGUUUGAUGAAUACAUAGUCAAACGAGGCGAACCGGGGGAACUGAAACAUCUAAGUACCCCGAGGAAAAGAAAUCAACCGAGAUUCCCCCAGUAGCGGCGAGCGAACGGGGAGCAGCCCGGAGUCUGAAUCAGCUUGUGUGUUAGUGGAAGCGUCUGGAAAGUCGCAGGGUACAGGGUGAUACUCCCGUACACUAAAACAUACAGGUUGUGAACUCGAAGAGUAGGGCGGGACACGUGGUAUCCUGUCUGAAUAUGGGGGGACCAUCCUCCAAGGCUAAAUACUCCUGACUGACCGAUAGUGAACCAGUACCGUGAGGGAAAGGCGAAAAGAACCCCGGCGAGGGGAGUGAAAAAGAACCUGAAACCGUGUACGUACAAGCAGUAGGAGCCCACUUGUUGGGUGACUGCGUACCUUUUGUAUAAUGGGUCAGCGACUUAUAUUCUGUAGCAAGGUUAACCGUAUAGGGGAGCCGCAGGGAAACCGAGUCUUAACUGGGCGUUAAGUUGCAGGGUAUAGACCCGAAACCCGGUGAUCUAGCCAUGGGCAGGUUGAAGGUUGGGUAACACUAACUGGAGGACCGAACCGACUAAUGUUGAAAAAUUAGCGGAUGACUUGUGGCUGGGGGUGAAAGGCCAAUCAAACCGGGAGAUAGCUGGUUCUCCCCGAAAGCUAUUUAGGUAGCGCCUCGUGAAUUCAUCUUCGGGGGUAGAGCACUGUUUCGGCUAGGGGGUCAUCCCGACUUACCAACCCGAUGCAAACUACGAAUACCGAAGAAUGUUAUCACGGGAGACACACGGCGGGUGCUAACGUCCGUCGUGAAGAGGGAAACAACCCAGACCGCCAGCUAAGGUCCCAAAGUCAUGGUUAAGUGGGAAACGAUGUGGGAAGGCCCAGACAGCCAGGAUGUUGGCUUAGAAGCAGCCAUCAUUUAAAGAAAGCGUAAUAGCUCACUGGUCGAGUCGGCCUGCGCGGAAGAUGUAACGGGGCUAAACCAUGCACCGAAGCUGCGGCAGCGACGCUUAUGCGUUGUUGGGUAGGGGAGCGUUCUGUAAGCCGUUGAAGGUGGCCUGUGAGGGUUGCUGGAGGUAUCAGAAGUGCGAAUGCUGACAUAAGUAACGAUAAUGCGGGUGAAAAACCCGCACGCCGGAAGACCAAGGGUUCCUGUCCAACGUUAAUCGGGGCAGGGUGAGUCGACCCCUAAGGCGAGGCCGAAAGGCGUAGUCGAUGGGAAACAGGUUAAUAUUCCUGUACUUGGUGUUACUGCGAAGGGGGGACGGAGAAGGCUAUGUUGGCCGGGCGACGGUUGUCCCGGUUUAAGCGUGUAGGUGUGUGUUCCAGGUAAAUCCGGUUCACUUUAACACUGAGGCGUGAUGACGAGGCACUACGGUGCUGAAGUGACAAAUGCCCUGCUUCCAGGAAAAGCCUCUAAGCAUCAGGUAACAUCAAAUCGUACCCCAAACCGACACAGGUGGUCAGGUAGAGAAUACCAAGGCGCUUGAGAGAACUCGGGUGAAGGAACUAGGCAAAAUGGUGCCGUAACUUCGGGAGAAGGCACGCUGAUAUGUAGGUGAAGUGGUUUACCCAUGGAGCUGAAAUCAGUCGAAGAUACCAGCUGGCUGCAACUGUUUAUUAAAAACACAGCACUGUGCAAACACGAAAGUGGACGUAUACGGUGUGACGCCUGCCCGGUGCCGGAAGGUUAAUUGAUGGGGUUAUCCGUAAGGAGAAGCUCUUGAUCGAAGCCCCGGUAAACGGCGGCCGUAACUAUAACGGUCCUAAGGUAGCGAAAUUCCUUGUCGGGUAAGUUCCGACCUGCACGAAUGGCGUAAUGAUGGCCAGGCUGUCUCCACCCGAGACUCAGUGAAAUUGAACUCGCUGUGAAGAUGCAGUGUACCCGCGGCAAGACGGAAAGACCCCGUGAACCUUUACUAUAGCUUGACACUGAACACUGGUCCUUGAUGUGUAGGAUAGGUGGGAGGCUUUGAAGUGUGGACGCCAGUCUGCAUGGAGCCAUCCUUGAAAUACCACCCUUUAAUGGCUGGUGUUCUAACGUGGGCCCCUAAUCGGGGUUGCGGACAGUGUCUGGUGGGUAGUUUGACUGGGGCGGUCUCCUCCUAAAGAGUAACGGAGGAGCACGAAGGUCAGCUAAUCCUGGUCGGACAUCAGGAGGUUAGUGCAAUGGCAUAAGCUGGCUUGACUGCGAGCGUGACGGCGCGAGCAGGUGCGAAAGCAGGUCAUAGUGAUCCGGUGGUUCUGAAUGGAAGGGCCAUCGCUCAACGGAUAAAAGGUACUCCGGGGAUAACAGGCUGAUACCGCCCAAGAGUUCAUAUCGACGGCGGUGUUUGGCACCUCGAUGUCGGCUCAUCACAUCCUGGGGCUGAAGUAGGUCCCAAGGGUAUGGCUGUUCGCCAUUUAAAGUGGUACGCGAGCUGGGUUUAGAACGUCGUGAGACAGUUCGGUCCCUAUCUGCCGUGGGCGCUGGAGAAUUGAGGGGGGCUGCUCCUAGUACGAGAGGACCGGAGUGGACGCAUCACUGGUGUUCGGGUUGUCAUGCCAAUGGCAUUGCCCGGUAGCUAAAUGCGGAAGAGAUAAGUGCUGAAAGCAUCUAAGUACGAAACUUGCCCCGAGAUGAGUUCUCCCUGACUCCUUGAGAGUCCUGAAGGAACGUUGAAGACGACGACGUUGAUAGGCCGGGUGUGUAAGCGCAGCGAUGCGUUGAGCUAACCGGUACUAAUGAACCGUGAGGCUUAACCUUACAACGCCGAAG